UGAAGACACCCAUUCACCUGAGCAACGUAUUUCUAGAAAAGGUCGCUACUGAUGCCUUGCUCGUUUUAGAAGCGAUAAACUACCAUAUCGGCAUGGGCUACAUCGUUCAAAUACCAACGAUAUUUGUAUACUAUUUAUUGAACAUGGUGUUCGAAUUGAAAAUGCUGCAUUUGCAUAUCGGGCAAGUUUCUCGAUUUUUGUUUAUUGACAGGCAACGCACUUCAGACAAGUUGUGACAAAUAACAUCGAAAAAAGUCUUGAUUUUAAGCGUGCAUGAUGAAUUUAGUGUCUUCAUUAAGAAUAUCGCCAUUGUUUACUUGCCUCUGUCCGUUGUUUGCAAUCUGGGUUUGCUUUUUGCAGCCAUUAAUGGUGUGGUUAAUGAAUUUUUUGUGAUGACAUAUGUACCGGUCUUUAUAUUUUCCGCCGCUUUUCCACUUUACAUGGGCCAAUCAUUUGAGAAUCAGUGCGAAAAGCUUCUGAGAAAAUGCUGCACACUCCCUUGGUACCAGUGGCAAGUACAGGAUAGGAAAUCGUACCAUUUGAUGCUGAUGAUUUUUUCGACUAACGAAAAACUCUAUGUUACACGAAAAAUCACUUUAAAUUUCUUACUUAUUCUGUCGUUACUCAAGACAUUUUAUGGAUUUGGAAGCAUAUUUUUGAAACUAAAAAACGCUGCUGACGAUUAGUGAUCGAAUCGACAAUUUCACAGUGCAGCUUAAAUAUAUUUAAAGGACAUUUGAAUUUGAGCUUUUUAGCCUUUGCUACACGAAGAACC